AGAGUUUGAUCAUGGCUCAGAUUGAACGCUGGCGGCAGGCCUAACACAUGCAAGUCGAACGGUAACAGGAAGCAGCUUGCUGCUUCGCUGACGAGUGGCGGACGGGUGAGUAAUGUCUGGGAAACUGCCUGAUGGAGGGGGAUAACUACUGGAAACGGUGGCUAAUACCGCAUAACGUCGCAAGACCAAAGAGGGGGACCUUCGGGCCUCUUGCCAUCAGAUGUGCCCAGAUGGGAUUAGCUUGUUGGUGAGGUAACGGCUCACCAAGGCGACGAUCCCUAGCUGGUCUGAGAGGAUGACCAGCCACACUGGAACUGAGACACGGUCCAGACUCCUACGGGAGGCAGCAGUGGGGAAUAUUGCACAAUGGGCGCAAGCCUGAUGCAGCCAUGCCGCGUGUAUGAAGAAGGCCUUCGGGUUGUAAAGUACUUUCAGCGGGGAGGAAGGUGUUGCGGUUAAUAACCGCAGCAAUUGACGUUACCCGCAGAAGAAGCACCGGCUAACUCCGUGCCAGCAGCCGCGGUAAUACGGAGGGUGCAAGCGUUAAUCGGAAUUACUGGGCGUAAAGCGCACGCAGGCGGUCUGUCAAGUCGGAUGUGAAAUCCCCGGGCUCAACCUGGGAACUGCAUUCGAAACUGGCAGGCUUGAGUCUUGUAGAGGGGGGUAGAAUUCCAGGUGUAGCGGUGAAAUGCGUAGAGAUCUGGAGGAAUACCGGUGGCGAAGGCGGCCCCCUGGACAAAGACUGACGCUCAGGUGCGAAAGCGUGGGGAGCAAACAGGAUUAGAUACCCUGGUAGUCCACGCCGUAAACGAUGUCUACUUGGAGGUUGUGCCCUUGAGGCGUGGCUUCCGGAGCUAACGCGUUAAGUAGACCGCCUGGGGAGUACGGCCGCAAGGUUAAAACUCAAAUGAAUUGACGGGGGCCCGCACAAGCGGUGGAGCAUGUGGUUUAAUUCGAUGCAACGCGAAGAACCUUACCUGGUCUUGACAUCCACAGAACUUUCCAGAGAUGGAUUGGUGCCUUCGGGAACUGUGAGACAGGUGCUGCAUGGCUGUCGUCAGCUCGUGUUGUGAAAUGUUGGGUUAAGUCCCGCAACGAGCGCAACCCUUAUCCUUUGUUGCCAGCGAUUAGGUCGGGAACUCAAAGGAGACUGCCAGUGAUAAACUGGAGGAAGGUGGGGAUGACGUCAAGUCAUCAUGGCCCUUACGACCAGGGCUACACACGUGCUACAAUGGCGCAUACAAAGAGAAGCGACCUCGCGAGAGCAAGCGGACCUCAUAAAGUGCGUCGUAGUCCGGAUUGGAGUCUGCAACUCGACUCCAUGAAGUCGGAAUCGCUAGUAAUCGUGGAUCAGAAUGCCACGGUGAAUACGUUCCCGGGCCUUGUACACACCGCCCGUCACACCAUGGGAGUGGGUUGCAAAAGAAGUAGGUAGCUUAACCUUCGGGAGGGCGCUUACCACUUUGUGAUUCAUGACUGGGGUGAAGUCGUAACAAGGUAACCGUAGGGGAACCUGCGGUUGGAUCACCUCCUU
rnacentral:rRNA from 2 species